rnacentral:rRNA from 1 species
UACGUAGGUCCCGAGCGUUGUCCGGAUUUAUUGGGCGUAAAGCGAGCGCAGGUGGUUUAUUAAGUCUGGUGUAAGAGGCAGUGGCUCAACCAUUGUAUGCAUUGGAAACUGGUAGACUUAAGUGCAGGAGAGGAGAGUGGAAUUCCAUGUGUAGCGGUGAAAUGCGUAGAUAUAUGGAGGAACACCGGUGGCGAAAGCGGCUCUCUGGCCUGUAACUGACACUGAGGCUCGAAAGCGUGGGGAGCAAAUAGG